AUGUUGAUCUCCUUGGCCUCUCCCACCAGUUCUUGCACAAAGAAGGAGAAGGGGUCCCUCCUGCAGUUUCUCAGUGGUCUGUCGUCGGACGGUGGCCUCGCCACGUCCUGGAAGCAGAACGGCGCAGACUGCUGCGAAUGGGAAGGGGUCACCUGUGGCGAGGAUGGGGCAGUCACAGAUGUCUCAUUGGAUUUGAAGGGCCUUGAGGGGCGCAUAACACCAUCCCUCGGCAACCUUGCUGGCCUUCUGCGCCUCAACCUGUCCCACAAUUCGCUGUCGGGUGGCCUGCCGCUGGAACUGGUGUCGUCCGGUAGCAUCAUCGUCCUUGAUGUCAGCUUCAACCGCCUCAGUGCAGACGUGCAAGAGCUGCCAUCUUCAACCCCAUCACGGCCUCUUCAGGUACUGAACAUCUCAAGCAACUUGUUCACAGGACGGUUUCCAUCAUCCACCACCUGGGAGGUGAUGGACAAUCUGGUUGUGCUCAAUGCCAGCAAUAACAGCUUCACUGGGCAAAUACCGGAUAAUUUCUGCAGCAUCUCGUCAUUGUUAGCUGUAGUUGAGCUCUGUUACAACCAAUUUACAGGCAUCAUCCCUCCUGGACUUGGUAACUGCUCCAUGCUCAGAGUGCUCAAGGCUGGACACAAUAACCUCCGCGGGACUCUCCCAAAUGAACUCUUUGAUGCUUCCUUACUGGAGUACCUCUCACUUCCCGACAAUGUUCUAGAUGGAGAGCUUGAUGGUGCUCAGAUAAUGAAACUCAGCAAUCUGGUGACACUAGACCUUGGAAGGAAUGGUUUCAGCGGCAAGAUUCCAGAUUCCAUAUAG
rnacentral:rRNA from 1 species